rnacentral:rRNA from 1 species
UACGUAAGGUGCAAGCGUUAAUCGGAAUUACUGGGCGUAAAGCGUGCGCAGGCGGCUUUGCAAGACAGAUGUGAAAUCCCCGGGCUUAACCUGGGAACUGCAUUUGUGACUGCAUAGCUAGAGUACGGCAGAGGGGGAUGGAAUUCCGCAUGUAGCAGUGAAAUGCGUAGAUAUGCGGAGGAACACCGAUGGCGAAGGCAGUCCCCUGGGCCUGUACUGACGCUCAUGCACGAAAGCGUGGGGAGCAAACAGG